rnacentral:rRNA from 1 species
CGGGCACUUCGGUGCUAGUGGCAGACGGGUGAGUAACACGUGGGAACGUACCUUUCGGUUCGGAAUAAUCCAGGGAAACUUGGACUAAUACCGGAUACGCCCUUCGGGGGAAAGAUUUAUCGCCGAUAGAUCGGCCCGCGUCUGAUUAGCUAGUUGGUGAGGUAAUGGCUCACCAAGGCGACGAUCAGUAGCUGGUCUGAGAGGAUGAUCAGCCACAUUGGGACUGAGACACGGCCCAAACUCCUACGGGAGGCAGCAGUGGGGAAUAUUGGACAAUGGGCGCAAGCCUGAUCCAGCCAUGCCGCGUGAGUGAUGAAGGCCUUAGGGUUGUAAAGCUCUUUUGUCCGGGAAGAUAAUGACUGUACCGGAAGAAUAAGCCCCGGCUAACUUCGUGCCAGCAGCCGCGGUAAUACGAAGGGGGCUAGCGUUGCUCGGAAUCACUGGGCGUAAAGGGCGCGUAGGCGGACUCUUAAGUCGGGGGUGAAAGCCCAGGGCUCAACCCUGGAAUAGCCUUCGAUACUGAGAGUCUUGAGUUCGGAAGAGGUUGGUGGAAUUGCGAGUGUAGAGGUGAAAUUCGUAGAUAUUCGCAAGAACACCAGUGGCGAAGGCGGCCAACUGGUCCGAUACUGACGCUGAGGCGCGAAAGCGUGGGGAGCAAACAGGAUUAGAUACCCUGGUAGUCCACGCCGUA